rnacentral:rRNA from 1 species
GAUGAACGCUGGCGGCGUGCCUAACACAUGCAAGUCGAACGGACAUUUUUUGGAAAGCUCUUCGGAACUGGAAUCUAAAUGUUAGUGGCGGACGGGUGAGUAACGCGUGAGCAAUCUGCCUUUCAGAGGGGGAUAACAGCCGGAAACGGAUGCUAAUACCGCAUAAGACCACAGUACUGCAUGGUACAGUGGUAAAAACUCCGGUGGUAUGAGAUGGACCCGCGUCUGAUUAGGUAGUUGGUGAGGUAACGGCCCACCAAGCCGACGAUCAGUAGCCGACCUGAGAGGGUGACCGGCCACAUUGGGACUGAGACACGGCCCAG